UACGAAGGGGGCUAGCGUUGUUCGGAAUUACUGGGCGUAAAGCGCACGUAGGCGGAUUUGUAAGUCAGGGGUGAAAUCCCGGGGCUCAACCUCGGAACUGCCUUUGAUACUGCGCUUCUCGAGCACGGAAGAGGUGAGUAGAAUUCCUAGUGUAGAGGUGAAAUUCGUAGAUAUUAGGAAGAACACCAGUGGCGAAGGCGGCUCACUGGUCCGUUGCUGACGCCGAGGUGCGAAAGCGUGGGGAGCAAACAGG
rnacentral:rRNA from 1 species